rnacentral:rRNA from 1 species
GUUUGAUCCUGGCUCAGGAUGAACGCUUUCGGCAGGCUUAACACAUGCAAGUCGAGGGGCAGCAUGUCCAGCAAUGGAUGAUGGCGACCGGCGGAAGGGUGCGUAACGCGUGAGCAACAUGCCCUAUACAGGGAGAUACACCAGGGAGACUUGGUCUGAUAUCCCAUAUCAUUCAUUGAAGGCAUCUUUAAUGAAUUAAAGCUUCGGUGGUAUAGGAUUGGCUCGCGUGACAUUAGCCAGAUGGUGAGGUAACGGCUCACCAUAGCAAUGAUGUCUAGGGGUUUUGAGAGGAAGGCCCCCCACACUGGGACUGAGACACGGCCCAGACUCCUACGGGAGGCAGCAGUGAGGAAUAUUGGACAAUGGAUGGAAAUCUGAUCCAGCCAUGCCGCGUGCAGGAAGACGGCCUUAUGGGUUGUAAACUGCUUUUAUACGGGAGCAAUAAGGGUUACGAGUAAUCCGAUGAGAGUACUGUAUGAAUAAGGAUCGGCUAACUCCGUGCCAGCAGCCGCGGUAAUACGGAGGAUCCGAGCGUUAUCCGGAAUUAUUGGGUUUAAAGGGUGCGUAGGCGGCCAUUUAAGUCAGCGGUGAAAUUUUGCAGCUUAACUGUAACAGUGCCGUUGAUACUGUUCGGCUAGGAUUUGGUUGUAGUGUGCGGAAUGUGUGGUGUAGCGGUGAAAUGCUUAGAUAUCACACAGAACACCGAUUGCGAAGGCAGCACACUAAGUCAUUAUUGACGCUGAGGCACGAAAGUGUGGGGAUCAAACAGGAUUAGAUACCCUGGUAGUCCACACUGUAAACGAUGAUAACUCGCUGUCGGCGAUACACAGUCGGUGGCCAAGCGAAAGCAUUAAGUUAUCCACCUGGGGAGUACGACCGCAAGGUUGAAACUCAAAGGAAUUGACGGGGGCCCGCACAAGCGGAGGAACAUGUGGUUUAAUUCGAGGCAACGCGAAGAACCUUACCCGGUUUUGACAUCUGUGGUAACCUGCAGAGAUGUGGGUGUGCCGGUUUACCGGAGCCACAAGACAGGUGCCGCAUGGCUGUCGUCAGCUCGUGUCGUGAGAUGUUGGGUUAAGUCCCGCAACGAGCGCAACCCCUGCUUUCAGUUACCAUCAUUAAGUUGGGGACUCUGGAAGGACCGCUGCGGUAACAACGCAGAGGAAGAUGGGGACGAUGUCAAGCAAUCAUGGUCCUUAUGACCGGGGCUACACACGUGCUACAAUGGCAGUUACAGAGGGAAGCGAGGCUGUAAAGUGGAGCGAAUCUCAUAAAAGCUGCCUCAGUUCGGAUUGAGGUCUGCAACUCGACCUCAUGAAGUUGGAAUCGCUAGUAAUCGCGCAACAUCAUGGCGCGGUGAAUACGUUCCCGGGCCUUGCACUCACCGCCCGUCAAG